GGAAUUGUUUUAAAGUUAAAAGAAUAGCUAAGUAAGAUAAAUAAUCUAAGAAACAGAUUAAGUCUUUCGCAGAUCAGAAGUUGUGUUGAGGUUCAUAAGAAAGAAAUGGUCUGAAAUUGGUUAAGAAUAAGUUAGUUAGCAUAAAUUUAGGUAAAUACAAUAGUAUUGCUAUUUAUAUAAAAAGGUAGUUACCUGGCUUAGCUGAGAAAAAACCUAUUUUGUAAGUCAGUGUAUAUAUAUUUUCUUAUUCAAGU
rnacentral:lncRNA from 1 species